AUGAUAAUUAGUUUAAGCCAAAAACAAAUGAUUUCGACU
rnacentral:tRNA from 1 species